rnacentral:rRNA from 1 species
AAAGGAAUAGACGGGGACCCGCACAAGCGGUGGAGCGUGUUGUUUAAUUCGAUGGUAAGCGAAGAACCUUACCAAGGCUUGAAAUCCCGAGAAGGCUCUCGAAAGAGAACUGUGCUUUAUUGAACUCGGUGACAGGUGUUGCAUGGCCGUCGUCAGCUCGUGUCGUGAGAUGUUUGGUUAAGUCCAUCAACGAGCGCAACCCUUAUAGUUAGUUGAAUUUUUCUAGCUAGACUGCCCUGGUAACAGGGAGGAAGGAGGGGAUGAUGUCAGGUCAGUAUUACCCUUACGCCUUGGGCUACAAACACGCUACAAUGGCCGGUACAAAGGGCAGCCAACCCGCGAGGGGGAGCAAAUCCCAUCAAAACCGGUCUCAGUUCGGAUUGCAGGCUGAAACUCGCCUGCAUGAAGCUGGAAUCGCUAGUAACGGUAGGUCAGCACACUACCGUGAAUACGUUCCCGGGUCUUGUACACACCGCCCGU